GUGGGGAAUCUUCCGCAAUGGACGAAAGUCUGACGGAGCAACGCCGCGUGAGUGAUGAAGGUCUUCGGAUUGUAAAGCUCUGUUAAUCGGGACGAAAGAGCCUAGUGUGAAUAAUGCUAGGAAGUGACGGUACCGGAAUAGAAAGCCACGGCUAACUACGUGCCAGCAGCCGCGGUAAUACGUAGGUGGCAAGCGUUGUCCGGAAUUAUUGGGCGUAAAGCGCGCGCAGGCGGAUCUGCCAGUCUGUCUUAAAAGUUCGGGGCUUAACCCCGGGAUGGGAUGGAAACUACAGAUCUAGAGUAUCGGAGAGGAAAGUGGAAUUCCUAGUGUAGCGGUGAAAUGCGUAGAUAUUAGGAAGAACACCAGUGGCGAAAGCGGCUUUCUGGACGACAACUGACGCUGAGGCGCGAAAGCCAGGGGAGCAAACGGGAUUAGAUACCCGGGUAGUCC
rnacentral:rRNA from 1 species